rnacentral:lncRNA from 1 species
UCUGUAUCAUCAAGAUCCGUUGGCCCCUGAGGUUUGAGCAGUCCUAUUGGCCCUUAUACUCAUGCUCAUGAAUUUUGAAGACCUGCUGGCCCUUGAGAUUAAAGUAGGCCCAUUGACCCUUAUACUCAUCCUUGUAUAUUCUUAAAGUCCAUUGGCCCUCGAGAUCUAAGUAGGCCUGCCAGUCCUUAUACUCCACCUCAAUCAGAUAUUCUCUUUUCAUUAAGGCCUAC